AGAGUUUGAUCAUGGCUCAGAUUGAACGCUGGCGGCAUGCCUUACACAUGCAAGUCGGACGGCAGCGCGGGCUUCGGCCUGGCGGCGAGUGGCGAACGGGUGAGUAAUACAUCGGAACGUGUCCAGUAGUGGGGGAUAGCCCGGCGAAAGCCGGAUUAAUACCGCAUACGAUCUCUGGAUGAAAGCGGGGGACCUUCGGG
rnacentral:rRNA from 1 species